rnacentral:SRP_RNA from 1 species
GAUGGAACAACACUUUGGCUUCACUGGGUUGGGCAAUGGAUGCAAAAUGUUGGCCUGCCCACUCCAAGUUGAGAGUUGAAGCAUGGGACUUGAGCGAAUGCACAUGUUUCUUGGUUCUUAGAUAGGAGGGCACAGCGUGAGGCUGGCUUCACAGAGCAGCGAAAACCUCCUUCUCCCAACAGUGGAGGGAUAACAGGUUGCUGCAUCUAUUGUCCACCAAGGCCUAGGGAGCCUAGUUGCUUGGACCAUC